rnacentral:rRNA from 1 species
UACAGAGGUCUCAAGCGUUGUCCGGAAUCAUUGGGCGUAAAGAGCGUGUAGGCGGCUCGGUAAGUCCGCUGUGAAAGUCCAGGGCUCAACCCUGGAAUGCCGGUGGAAACUGUCGAGCUAGAGUCCGGAAGAGGCGAGUGGAAUUCCUGGUGUAGCGGUGAAAUGCGCAGAUAUCAGGAGGAACACCAAUGGCGAAGGCAGCUCGCUGGGACGGUACUGACGCUGAGACGCGAAAGCGUGGGGAGCAAACAGG